rnacentral:snoRNA from 1 species
CCCCUCUCAGGAUUGCACCUGGAGAGUUUACAGUACGCUACCAGCCUCAGCUACGGGAGGGAGAGUCAAACAGAGGCCUACCUAUUCCAUUCCUAGCUUGGGCAGUGGCUAGAGAGUGGAAGGUGAUCUCCUACAAGC